rnacentral:rRNA from 1 species
UAAAACUGCGAAUGGCUCAUUAAAUCAGUUAUAACAGACACGAGAAAUUCUAAAUGGAUAACCAUUGUGACCGAAGGCUAAUACAUGCUAAACGGCCUGACUUCGCGGAAAGGCUGCAUUUAUUAGAUAUAAACCAGCACCCUUACCGGUGUUGUGAUGACUCAUAAUAACUAAGCGAAUCGCAGCUCAUGCUGCGAUAUCUCGAUUAGGUUACUGCCCCAUUCAGCUUCGAUGGUAGUGUAUUGGACUACCAUGGCAUUGAAGGGUAACGGGGAAUUAGGGUUCGAUUCCGGAGAGGGAGCUUGAGAAACGGCUACCACCCCUCAGGGAGGCAGCAGGCGCGUAAAUUACCCAAUCCUGAUUCAGGGAGGUAGUGACUAGAUAUAACA